rnacentral:rRNA from 1 species
UACAGAGGUCCCAAGCGUUGUUCGGAUUCACUGGGCGUAAAGGGUGCGUAGGCGGUUGUGCAAGUCUGAUGUGAAAUCUCCGGGCUCAACCCGGAAAUGGCAUUGGAAACUGCAUGGCUAGAGGGUUGGAGGGGGGACUGGAAUACUUGGUGUAGCAGUGAAAUGCGUAGAUAUCAAGUGGAACACCAGUGGCGAAGGCGAGUCCCUGGACAACACCUGACACUGAGGCACGAAAGCUAGGGGAGCAAACAGG